UCCCUUGGGCUCCCGAAAAGCCACUGGCCGGCUGGAUCCCGUUUCCCAGUUUGUGGAAUCCCGGGACGCGGCAUGUGGAGCCCCGCCUCCUGGAGCUCGAGGACAGAGCCGCCUCGGCUGGGCAGUCUGGCGGGAAAGGGAAUUCAACCCCUAAGGAGAACAGUCACCACACUCAUGGCAGGGAUUUUGCGCUCAAUAGUUCAGAGGCCCCCAGGCAGACUACAAAUGGUGACAAAAGGUGUGGAGCCCCUUGUUCGUACAGAUUGGAUUCGUCACAAAUUUACGAAGUCAAGAAUUCCAGAUAAAGUUUUUCAACCUUCACCUGAAGAUCAUGAAAAAUAUGGUGGGGAUCCCCAGCAGCCUCAUAAACUGCAUAUUGUUACCAGAAUAAAAAGUACAAAAAGACGUCCAUAUUGGGAGAAAGAUAUAAUAAAGAUGCUUGGGUUACAGAAAGCACAUACUCCUCAAGUUCACAAGAAUAUCCCUUCGGUGAAUGCAAAACUGAAAGUGGUUAAACAUUUGAUAAGAAUCAAGCCCCUGAGGCUGCCGCAGGGUCUCCCAAGAGAGGAGGACAUGUCCAGCACGUGCCUCAAGAGCACUGGAGAGCUGGUGGUGGGGUGGCUUCAGAACCCCACGGACCAGGAAGUGAAAAAGUCCUGAUGGCCUCGCGGCUUCAGAGUAAAAAGUGCAAGUCAUUUCUAUUUCAAGAUGAUCCGUGGACACAAAGCUCAAAGGACACCCGAGCAGGGGACUCUUCUCUUUAGAGAGAACUUCAAACAAUCCUCAAAGAUAAUGCAGUGCGGGAAAGAAACAGGAAGUAGUGACAGAAGGCUGGGAAAUGGAGGCAGCGGGAGGGGACGCCAAGCCCAUGGCAGAGCCUCAGCAAUGGAGAGGUUGGUGGAGACCCAAGAAUUCAGAAGGGGCAGACGACCUGGGGAGCAGGUGGGGGAGCAGAGAUCCUGCGGAAGGAAGGACCAGGGUGUGAGAGACGGAGUGAAGGACAUGGUUGGAGAGAAAUUUAGGCAGGAUAGAAGAGGAUGUGGUUAGGAACGGAGCCAGGUAGAGCCACGAAGAGAAGCCAAACCCGUAGCUUUUCAUGGCGUCGACUUGGUGUGAUCAAACAGGUGAGACGACAUGCUCACAGUCGUGGCUCCUAGAACCCUCCAUAUAGUUUGGCCGGUUUCAAAUUACAGCGAACAGCCUACAGCGACUUACUUCAUUCUUUAAAAAUGAGAAAAGCUAUUUUUCCUACAUUCAAGAUGGAUUUGGCAAAGCCAAGCCCUGGAGUGGGGUUGCUACUCUUUGCUGCUCUUAAAUUAGAGCUUGUCAGUCAAGUAGGCAUUCACCCCCAGACAACCAGCAAAGAAAGACAAGCAGGUGGAACAGAAAUGAGCAGCAAACCGUCCAUACCCAGACUCCGCUCGCUCCCUGUGUGCAGCUCAUCUCAGGACGCCAGAGCCUGGGGGUCAGGCAGGUGCUUCAAGCUCAAAGCCACAAUCAGAAACCACGCCUCUCCCAUCCCUUUCUGCCCUUCACAUUUUCAAAGCUUCAUCCAAGUUUUAACUUUUCAUCUUACUAAAAGUAAACAGCAUAGCUUUUUUGAGGAACCUACUGAGUGAACCCAAGCAGCAGGAAUGUCCACGUGGCAUGAUAAUUCCUCUGAGACUUUAAUUUGUGUUUUGUUUUUUGUGUUUUCUCUCCCUCAUUGGCCAGGCCUUCCUUUGUGUUCCUUUGACUGAGGUCAGCCUCUGUUCCAGGUAUUUGUUUUUAAAAGCGUGAAGUUAUUAAGGGGUAUUAGGCUAGAGGGAGGGAAGAGAAAUGUUUUGAAGAGUGGAGAAAAGAGAUGCUCUGCACCCCACACCCAAGCAGGGGCCUUCCUACAUCCCUAGACAUUUCAGGAUGCUCAGCUGAUUUCCAUCUGCCAGGAUCUGCAUCUCGGUGUCAACGGUCUCAUUCCCUUGGAAGUUCUGAAAAGUGUGCCACCUAUUUGCAUGGAAGACCAGAGGAGCAAAGAAUUAAGCUGCUCUCCUCCCAACAGGCAGAUACCCCAGUCAAUGGCUCUUAGAAGUUGAUGUAUAAAUACCCCAGCUUCUUGGCCCUUGUGUAUAAUAAUUCUGCAGUGUGUUUUGCACAAUCCCUCAGUGUUUGCUUGGAGGAUUGAGCUCCAGUGCCCACUGUGGUAGCCGGCUUGACGACACACAUUUUAUUGGCUUUCUUCCCUUCCCUGUAUCCCCCAGCCACUUCAUAUCAGCAUUCCCUGAACCUCUCAAAUAAACCACCUGCACCUGAAGUUGUUUCAGGGUCUGCUUCUAUGGGAACCAAACUAAGACACCUUAAAUAUUGACUCUCCUCUAGAACAUCUGGUAUCUCAGUCAUAAAAAGAAUACUGGGGGAAUAGAUUCAGAGUAUGAGUCAUCAUACUAUUUCUUGUUUUUCAAAUUAUUUGGAAAUUAUCUCACCUGGGUGUACUUUUUUGCUUUAGUAGUGACAUUGAAGGAGUUGGCAAUUAGAUGGAGUACAUGCUGUGAUUUCUCCCACAGAAGAAAUCAUUCUUGAGCAAAGUGAACAUCUAAAGAAUGUCCUGGAUUGCCCACAUGCAGAGAUAAUAAUCAAAGUAUUUAACUGGUACAGCAUGGUUCUCAACCAGUCAUAAAAGAUGCUGGUCUACAUGCUGCAGGGCUGCCUAACCAUCUGACCAUAGGCUCUGCCCAGUGAAACACAGGGGUCCCAGUUCUGCCUGGGUGAAAUCUGCAGGUAGGCUUGAGAGGUCAUUGAGCAGGGAAGGGUUUACUUGGCUUUCUCCAAGGGGGCUCAGAGGUAGGUGGGUAUGAUUUUGAUUCCUCCUCAGAAAAAGAAGUGAUGUGUAGAAACAUUUAUUGAACAUCUCUGAAGGGAGCUAAAGGCCCAGCAGGGGCCAUAUCGGCAGGGACUUUGAGAGCUUUACAUUCCAACAUAUUAUUUGUGUUUUCUCCUGAGUAUGGAAGUAAAGCCACAAACUGCAUCAGGUUUCCUUCUGGAAGAAUGUCUCUUCUCCAUUGUGGGUGGUCUGGGCAAGACCAAAAAGCAGAGCAGCCAGCCUGUAGGUGUGUAUAUGAUCCCAGGUAAGUCCAUCAGUCUCUCCCGGAACUAUAGAAGUGAAGCAGAAUGAUGAAAGGAUGGGAGAAAAGGUCGUUGGAGUUCAUUUACGCAGUGAGAGUGCUAAUUCAUUCGUGCAGUAGGGAUGCUAUAAAGUAUGGUCAACUGCUUCCUGCUACCCAGACCCCAGAGCUGCCUGGUUACUCUUCUUGUCCUUGAGCCUUUCAUUGGCUCUGGGAGCUUUUUGAUAGCCUUUCGGUAAUUUCCUUUUACUGCUUAAAAUUUCCAGAACUGGUUAAUUUUACUUACACCUAAAGAACAAUAACAAAAUUGGCUCCUAUAUGCUUAUCUUCAGCCAUGUUUGGUGGAGAAUGGACCUCUUGAAAGACUGUGUGGCAGCAACUACUGAAAAGGGAAGAAAAGAAGCCAGUCCCUGGAUCUUCAGCAAACAAGAGGAAGAAGACAAAAGAGCCUUAUGAAUCACAAAAGAUAUGGAAGGGCUACUGAAAGCAGUAGAAAUAGAGAAGAUACAUGAAGAUAUGAAGAAGGUAAAAGAAGGUCCGGAGAGGACAAGUUGAUGAUUUUUAAAAGAGGCAAAAAGCAUACAUCUCUAAGAAACCCCCUUGGAGGCUUUGACUCAGGCCCUCCCUUCGCCCUUGUCUUCGGCCUCCCGACCAAAACCUGGCGUUUCUGGCGUGGCCCUGAGCUGCGGGGCCUGCCUCUUGUUUCUAGGGGAACGGUAAGUACCAUUCAGUUUUUCUUACGAUGGCACUCUGUCAUCACUCAGUCACCUUUAGAAAUUAAGACCCGGGGCUUCCCUGGCGGCGCAGUGGUUGAGGGUCCGCCUGCCGAUGCGGGGGACGUGGGUUCGUGCCCCGGUCCGGGAGGAUCCUGCAUGCCGUGGAGCGGCUGGGCCCGUGAACCGUGGCCGCUGGGCCUGUGCGUCCGGAGCCUAUGUUCCGCAACGGGAGAGGCCACAGCAGUGAGAGGCCCACGUACUGCAAAAAAAUAAAUAAAUAAAAAUAAAAUAAAAAAAGAAAUUAAGACCUGGACACAAUAAAUAACAGGUCUGACAUUUUUCUUGCUUUGUAAGAUAUCCCCCUUUUAAACGUCUGUCUCAUUCUACCUCUGUUUACAUGUUAACAAAAAUUUACAUUGAGAUCCCUGUCAAAUAAAAAGCACCUGGUCACCGCCAGUGAGGCUAUACAUAGAGAUGCUGAGAAAGCACCGUUCACAGCGUGGGCAGCGCAAGCCGGAAGGAGGAUGCAGUGUCGGGGACACGCGUGCACUGGGUGGGGAGCAGGGACAUGGGAGGAUCCCAGUCCUCUUGGCAGCUCCCCAGCGUGUCCGGCCUGAUCUGUGCCUCAGCAGCCGGCCAGCUGUGACCAGUGACUCUGCUCCGGUGAACUGGUUCUUGGCUCCCCUGGGACCACGAGGAGAGAAUAAAACGCUACCUGCUUUCAAGAUCGCAGAAAGUCACAACCCAGUCCCACCUAGAUUUUGUUUGUUGGGCCGCGCUGCACGGCUUGCGGGAUCUCAGUUUCCCGACCAGGAAUUGAACCCAGGCCGUGGCCGUGAAAGCGCAGAAUCCUAACCACUGGACCACCAGGGAAGUCCCCCAUCUAGCUUUAUUCUCUAAAGUUUCAUUUGUGUUUGCAACAUAAAGUAAUUCCUUUAUGUGCCUGUACAUAUGUCCUGGUUUUUUUCUUUUUUCCCCAGAAAUAAGAACAAAUCCUUCUUUUGAGUUAUUCAGAGCUUCUAGGCUGUAGGGAGAAACAACACAAAAGAGUGCAUGAUUAUGCUGUCAGAUGCCUGAGGUGAAGCCAUUAACCAAGUUCCUUUUAUCAAUUCCAGCAGCCUCCACUGUUUUCUGGGAGGGUGGGAACUCAUGGAGGAACAGCCUGGCUCUUUGCAGCACCCACGUGAUGAGAUGUUUUGUUAGUGCCCCGUGUGUUCAGGCCGGGUUCAUUCUACUCCACGUGACCUGAUAACAUGGGGAUACUGGGAGUUUUGCUCGUUUACUAUCUCACACUCUGGAGCAAAAAAUUUGAGGGCUCUGGUUCAUAUUGUCUUCUCAAAGAGCUUUUACUCAGGGUCUUAAGUAUUCCCCUUUUUCAUUUCCCCAUCACAAGAAAUAUAAAUAAGUUAUUGGACGUAUAAAAUGUCUAUUUGGUCUGUGCUAGAAAAACAGAUUCAGGUCACAUAGGGAAGUCAAACAUAAGAGAAGUGGAGUUGCUUUGAUUGGGCACUGCUUCAAUAUCUGAAAAAGAAAAAAGUCCCCAUGAGGUUGCUCUAAGGCAGCAUGGGAAAGCAGGUAGAGAAGGCUGCAGGGGGGGCUGACAGAGGGGGAAGCGGGAUAGAUUCACCCUGGCUGGAUAGGCCGACUCAGCAAGUCAAAGGGGACUCAGCUCCAUCUGCCCAGCUAAGCCAGAAGUGGUGCACACCUCAAUGAGGAAUCUGGGUUUUGUGUUUUUUUGUUUUUGUUUUGACUGCACCAUGCGCGGCAUGCGGGAUGGAACCUGUGCCGCUUGCAUUGGGAGCACAGGGUCUUAACCCCUGGACCACCAGGGAAGUCCCAGGAAUCUGGGUUUAAAUAGCCCUGAAAAGCGAGAGGAGACUUUAAGAGUCUUCAGAUGGCUACACAAAACCACCUAUCAGCAUCCUAUUUCGUUCAGGUAAUUCUGGAGAAUCUGUGAGGCAAUAAUUCUCAGCCUUGGCUACACAUUAGAAUCACCUGGGAAUGGGACUGAGUUCUUGUUGUUGUUGUUCGUUUGUUUGUUUUUUCUUCCAGUUUUAUUGAGAUCUAGUGGACAUACAGCACUGUAUAAGUUUAAGGUGUACAGAAUAAUGAUUUGUUUACAUACGUCAUGAAGUGAUUCUCACGGAAGCUGCUGGAGGAUGUGCUCCAUAUAAACAAAGGAGUAAGCUAAAAAUGUGAAAAAUGGGGAGAUGCAACAUGGGAGAGCUGCAAAGGACUGAUGGUGAAGCUGAAACUGCACAACUCAGAUGGGACUCAAACCCACCAAAACUCAGAUUGGGACUUGAACCCACAGGCUGGGACUCGAAUCCAGAAUCCACUGUCGUUUAAUUGAGACCACACACCUGGUCUCAGGAUCUAGUGAAGCUCAGGUUCUUUAUGUCUCAUCCCAGAAGGAAUUCAGCAAGAGCCCAAGUGAUAGAAGCUGCGUGAGGCUGCCCUGGUGAUUGCAGGACUUUACCCAACUGGUUCACACGUGGACUCGUAACCAGUGCCUCCCAGUCCAUUGCCAUUGUGCCAGGGAAAUGGAAAUCUCCAAAGGUGUAUUCCUGAGGUCUUCUCAGUCAUAUUGUCCUUAGUGAGGAUCCCUUCACUGCAUUCAGCCUUGAAAGUGGGUCUUGGAAGACAGACGGUGGGGAGACAAGAAGGAAGCAGCCCAGGAGUUCAAGGUCAUGAUGGUCAUGAGCAGGUUCCACAAGCCCCUAACACAGAAGCCCACAGGGACUCAACAUACUGUCGAGUUACCAAAUACAGGUUCUUUCAAGAAACCAAGAUACUUUGAUUCUCAACACUGAGAAAUAUGGUGAUCUGACUGCAGAUCUUGAAAAGCCAGUUUCUGAUGCAUGUGCCUUAUCCCAACAGCCUCUUCAUUAUCAAAAGGUUAGUAUUGUGGGUGGUUCCUUCCAAACACCCAGGAAGAGAAUAUGUCAAGAUGAAGAAGAGGUAUUAAGGAAGUCAUUUGAAUUAACAAAAAGCCAUGCUUUUUGUUUUUCUUCCCUACAACAUUGAGAUAGUCUAUCUGAUUUCCCUUAGUUGAGUAGAAAAUGCCGUGCCCAGUCCAGAACACCAGAAAGAUACAGGAACUUUGCAUUUUAGCUGUGUUUACAGGAACUCUCAGAUUCAAUCACCUAACAGGAAUCACCCACUGAGCCCCUAGCACUGAAUGAGAGAGGACACUCCGUCCCAGGAAAAAGAGCAGAGAAAGAGCCAUGUAGGUACAGGAAAAGCUCAUAGUUUCAUGAAAGUGUAUAUUUACAGAGGCUUCUCACUGGCUUUAUGGAAAGGACCCAUCCGAAAAAAGGACUGCUUGCAACCAGAUGCAAAGCCCGGAGCAUUUUACUCUUUGUACUGCUUUUCCAGGGGAAAAAAAUUCUUCUUGGAAACACAAGUGGAAAAACUUAGCUUUUAUUGCAACAUGAAAGCUCGUUUCAUUUUCCAGGCAUGGAGCUAAAUGUCUGUAUUGCGUAAGCACUUGAAUGAAAAGAGUCUGUGUAAAUACAUGUGCCAAUGACUUAGGAACACAGAGUUACUUUGUUUGUUUUUUUUCAAUUACAUCAGGAAAGAGCAAGAAGGGACAAUAAGACAUCAACGUAGCGUAUCGAAGGAACCCAAACUCUGUGACCCAACUUUCCAGGUGCCAAAAAGGAGACUAUGUUCAGAAGGGAGUGUUGAGGCGUCACUGGAGUCUGUGUGGGGAGAGUCCAUCGGUCACCCAGGACCGAUCCGGUCAAAGCCCUGUGGCUUCAGACACUUGGAACCAUUAUCAAAACGUCAGCCCCUGCCUUCUCCCGGGUCCUCUGCCCUGCCACACCUGGAAUGUGUGAGAGCAGUGAACUUGGCGGCUUCAUUCAUGACUGAGUCCUCAGAGACCAGAUCAGAGCCUAGCACGUUGUGUGUGUGCGGUAAAUAUUUGUUGAAUCCGUCAAUGCAUGAAGAAUCUUCAGUCUCACCCAGCGAGGUUCAGAUCGGUCCUCCAGCCCCGCGUCCCAGUCUAUGAUGCCAUCCUCAGAAACAGAAGUCUACAUGUAGUCAAGCAUUCUCAUUGCAAAAGACCAUAUCUUCUAGUUUUCAUUAAGUGGGAGGCAGACGGGUCAGUGUCAGAGACUCUAUCAGGCCUUGACGCUCAUGAAGACAGAGAGAAAAGGGCCCCGAGCCAAGGAAUGAGGCAGCAUCAAGAGGCUGGGAAAGACAAGAAAAUGGAUUCCCUGUAGAGCGUCCAGAAAGACCACAGCCUUGCUGACACUUCAAUCUGAGCGCAGUGAGAGCCCCGGACUUCUGACCUCCGGAACUGAUACGGGAUCUUGGUUCCCCAACCAGGGAUCGAACCAGUGCCCCCUGCAGUGGAAGCAUGAAUUGUUAACCACUGGACUGCCAGGGAAGUCCCAGAAUUUUCUUUAUAAGAGAUCUCUAUAGACAUCAACAAAACUCAUGGAAUUCAUUAUCAUUAACCCAGAAUUAGUAUGGAACUCUUUUCAUGACGCCUGAAAAAUAUUUCGAAAAUAUCUGGAAAUAUUCCUAGCAGCUAGAUCUUGGUUCUGAAAUAUCAUUUGCCACUGAAAGGAACCAUGGUGUCUCGGAGAAAAAGCCAGUUCCUAUGGAGAGUAUAACACGAGGCCCCCUAAAAGACCUUACGUGCACCAGAAAGAAAGUGCUCAAAGAAUUAUGGGGAUGUGUCAAAAGGACACAGAAGCCAGUAUGAAAGGCUCUCACUGGCCAAAUUUGAGGCAAUCUGAGCUUCAAAGUAAAUAAUAACAGCAACAGACUAUAACCCACUGAAUAAAAGAAUCCACAGCCCAUUCUAAUACAGAUAAAUGAAGAAGUAAGUUAAUGUGGGGCCUGGAGAAGUUCUUCCUUAAAUCACCCGUUGGCUUGGUGGACAACUGGUUAACCAGUGCACAGUCAUCACCACCAGCAAUGAGACAAACCAUCAUAUAUCUCCUGAUAUGGUACACUGAGAAGAAAGAAUACAACAUCACUUCCAUAAUACACCUGUGGAAAACACGCAGAAUCUGAAUCUAACUUUGAAACAAACUGGGAAAUGCUCUAUAAAAUAACUAGCUUGUACUCUUCCAAAAUGUUAAAGUAUUGAAAAACAAAGGAGGGGAACAAGUUGCUACAGGUUAAUGGAAACUAAAAAUACAUAGUAAGUACACAGAACCCAUUUUUCCAGUAUGGAGGACAUUAUUGGGACAAUGGUGGAAUUUGAAUAAGGUCUGUAAACUGUAUUUUGUGUUUUAAUAAAUUGUACUGUGGUUAUAUAAGAA